UGGGGAAUAUUGGACAAUGGGGGCAACCCUGAUCCAGCAAUGCCGCGUGUGUGAAGAAGGCCUGCGGGUUGUAAAGCACUUUUGGCAGGGAUGAAAAGCACUGGAUUAAUAACCCAGUGUGUUGACCUAACCUGCAGAAGAAGCUCCGGCUAACUUCGUGCCAGCAGCCGCGGUAAUACGAAGGGGGCUAGCGUUGUUCGGAUUUACUGGGCGUAAAGCGCGUGUAGGCGGGUCGUUAAGUUGGGGGUGAAAUCCCGAGGCUCAACCUCGGAACUGCCUUCAAAACUGGCGACCUGGACCUAAGUAGAGGCAAGUGGAAUUGCGAGUGUAGAGGUGAAAUUCGUAGAUAUUCGCAGGAACACCAGUGGCGAAGGCGACUUGCUGGACUUAUGGUGACGCUGAGACGCGAAAGCGUGGGGAGCAAACAGGAUUAGAUACCCAAGUAGUCCCUGAGCGGGCUGGCAAGGCGCAU
rnacentral:rRNA from 1 species